rnacentral:rRNA from 1 species
UACGUAGGCAGCAAGCGUUGUUCGGAGUUACUGGGCGUAAAGAGUGCGUAGGUGGUGCCCCAAGUCUGUUGUGAAAUCUCCCGGCUUAACUGGGAGGGUGCGGUGGAAACUGGGGUGCUUGAGUGUGGGAGAGGUAAGCGGAAUUCCUGGUGUAGCGGUGAAAUGCGUAGAUAUCAGGAGGAACACCGGUGGUGUAGACGGCUUACUGGACCACGACUGACACUGAGGAGCGAAAGCCAGGGGAGCAAACGGG